GAUGAACGCUGGCGGCGUGCCUAAUACAUGCCAGUCGAGCGAACAGACGAGGAACUUGCUCCUCUGACGUUAGCGGCGGACGGGUGAGUAACACGUGGAUAACCUACCUAUAAGACUGGGAUAACUUCGGGAAACCGGAGCUAAUACCGGAUAAUAUAUUGAACCGCAUGGUUCAAUAGUGAAAGACGGUUUUGCUGUCACUUAUAGAUGGAUCCGCGCCGCAUUAGCUAGUUGGUAAGGUAACGGCUUACCAAGGCAACGAUGCGUAGCCGACCUGAGAGGGUGAUCGGCCACACUGGAACUGAAACACGGUCCAGACUCCUAGGGGAGGCAGCAGUAGGGAAUCUUCCGCAAUGGGCGAAAGCCUGACGGAGCAACGCCGCGUGAGUGAUGAAGGUCUUCGGAUCGUAAAACUCUGUUAUUAGGGAAGAACAAAUGUGUAAGUAACUAUGCACGUCUUGACGGUACCUAAUCAGAAAGCCACGGCUAACUACGUG
rnacentral:rRNA from 1 species